rnacentral:rRNA from 1 species
UACGUAGGGUGCAAGCGUUAAUCGGAAUUACUGGGCGUAAAGCGUGCGCAGGCGGUUGUGCAAGACAGAUGUGAAAUCCCCGGGCUUAACCUGGGAACUGCAUUUGUGACUGCACGGCUAGAGUGUGUCAGAGGGGGGUAGAAUUCCACGUGUAGCAGUGAAAUGCGUAGAUAUCGGGAGGAACACCGGUGGCGAAGGCGGCGACCUGGGUCGACACUGACGCUGAGGCGCGAAAGCGUGGGGAGCAAACAGG